UACAGAGGGUGCGAGCGUUAAUCGGAAUUACUGGGCGUAAAGAGCACGUAGGUGGUUGUAUAAGUCACUUGUGAAAUGUCUGGGCUUAACCUGGACCUGUCGAGUGAGACUGUAUGACUCGAGUUCUGUAGAGGGUAGUGGAAUUUCUGGUGUAGCGGUGAAAUGCGUAGAUAUCAGAAGGAACACCCGUGGCGAAGGCGGCUACCUGGACAGAAACUGACACUGAGGUGCGAAAGCGUGGGUAGCGAACAGG
rnacentral:rRNA from 1 species